rnacentral:rRNA from 1 species
GUGGGUAACCUGCCUGUAAGACUGGGAUAACUCCGGGAAACCGGGGCUAAUACCGGAUGCUUGAUUGAACCGCAUGGUUCAAUCAUAAAAGGUGGCUUUUAGCUACCACUUACAGAUGGACCCGCGGCGCAUUAGCUAGUUGGUGAGGUAACGGCUCACCAAGGCGACGAUGCGUAGCCGACCUGAGAGGGUGAUCGGCCACACUGGGACUGAGACACGGCCCAGACUCCUACGGGAGGCAGCAGUAGGGAAUCUUCCGCAAUGGACGAAAGUCUGACGGAGCAACGCCGCGUGAGUGAUGAAGGUUUUCGGAUCGUAAAACUCUGUUGUUAGGGAAGAACAAGUACCGUUCGAAUAGGGCGGUACCUUGACGGUACCUAACCAGAAAGCCACGGCUAACUACGUGCCAGCAGCCGCGGUAAUACGUAGGUGGCAAGCGUUGUCCGGAAUUAUUGGGCGUAAAGCGCGCGCAGGCGGUUUCUUAAGUCUGAUGUGAAAGCCCCCGGCUCAACCGGGGGAGGGUCAUUGGAAACUGGGGAACUUGAGUGCA